rnacentral:rRNA from 1 species
GCCUUAUACAUGCAGUCGAGCGGACCUUUUAAAGCUUGCUUUUGAAAGGUCAGCGGCGGACGGGUGAGUAACACGUGGGCAACCUGCCUGUAAGACUGGGAUAACUUCGGGAAACCGGAGCUAAUACCGGAUAAUAUAAGGAACCUCCUGGUUCUUUAUUGAAAGAUGGUUUCGGCUAUCACUUACAGAUGGGCCCGCGGCGCAUUAGCUAGUUGGUGAGGUAAUGGCUCACCAAGGCGACGAUGCGUAGCCGACCUGAGAGGGUGAUCGGCCACACUGGGACUGAGACACGGCCCAGACUCCUACGGGAGGCAGCAGUAGGGAAUCUUCCACAAUGGACGAAAGUCUGAUGGAGCAACGCCGCGUGAGCGAUGAAGGCCUUCGGGUCGUAAAGCUCUGUUGUUAGGGAAGAACAAGUGCGAGAGUAACUGCUCGCACCUUGACGGUACCUAACCAGAAAGCCACGGCUAACUACGUGCCAGCAGCCGCGGUAAUACGUAGGUGGCAAGCGUUGUCCGGAUUAUUGGGCGUAAAGCGCGCGCAGGUGGUCCUUUAAGUCUGAUGUGAAACCCACGGCUCACCGUGGAGGGUCAUUGGAACUGGGGACUUGAGUGCAAAAGGAAGU